GAAGGCUGCGGCGCGGCGCUCGCGCCUCUUAGGCUUGGCGGUGGCGGCGGCGGCAGCUUCGCGCCGAAUCCCCGGGGAGCGGCGGUGGCGGCGUCCUGGGGCCAGGAGGAGCGAACACCUGCCGCGGUCCUCCCGCCGGCGCUGGCCCUGGGAUCUCCUGAAUUUCCAGGUUGGGCUACUCAGGCAUGGAUUGACUCCUACAGUUCAGGCGGAUGGAGAUCCCACCAACCCACAGCUUAAUUCUUCAGAUGCUUUAUCUUCAUUUCUCAUGUAUCUUCAGUUGGCUUCUAAUGCUCUGUGUGCUCCGGGAUGGAGCAGGUGUGCAGAGGGUGAGAACCCAGCUCUGGGACCAAGUCACUUGCUU
rnacentral:lncRNA from 10 species